rnacentral:rRNA from 1 species
UACGGAGGGUGCAAGCGUUAUCCGGAUUCACUGGGCUUAAAGGGUGCGUAGGUGGGCAGUUAAGUCAGCGGUGAAAUCUCUGGGCUUAACCCAGAAACUGCCAUUGAUACUAUCUGUCUUGAAUAUCCUGGAGGUGAGCGGAAUAUGUCAUGUAGCGGUGAAAUGCUUAGAUAUGACAUAGAACACCAAUUGCGAAGGCAGCUCACUACGGGGUUAUUGACACUGAGGCACGAAAGCGUGGGGAUCAAACAGG